CAGAGUCCUAAGCACUGAACCACCAGGGAAUGCCCUUGAAGUUCUUCUGUAUUUUAUCAAAUUCCUUUCCCAGACUACAUAGAGGAUGACAAAGUAUGUCUUCCGUUGACACACAGAGAUGCCACCGCCACACACGUGCACACACACACACGUUAAUGGCCUCUCUUCUGCCUACACACACACCGGCGUCAUCUGGAGGUGUUAUCCCACGAGAGGCACCAAAGCACAUUUGCAACCGGAAAAGCGGUCAGUGGCCAGAGCAAGCCUAUCUGGGCCAUCAGACCCUCGUCCAUGUUCAAGGGAGAAGGAUGCUGAGCAAGACGAGGCAAGGAUCAAACCCAGACUCUCCACGUUGGGAGCACAGAGUCCCAGCCACCACCAGAGAAGGACCACCGGAGAAUCUCUUCAUGGGCACUUGAGGUACUGGCCCGGACCGCAGUUCUCGUGACGCCCCACCACGCCGGCAGACGCCCUAACACCACGUCUUUACGCCGUCACUGCACACCCAGAUGACGACUACCCGAGAGAUGGACAGCUGUCCCAGGUGACUCAAUCCGGUUCUUCCUCCCCAGAAUUUGAGAGUGGGUCAGACUGGGUCCAAGUCAGUCUCCCUUCAGAGCUGAAGUGGCCAACAGGGAAUGGGUGUCUGGGAUUAGGGGAGGAAGGAGCCCUGAGCAGCUUUCCACUCCCCAUGGGGUUCCCCCAACCCCCUCCCCCCAUGUCCCCCUUCAGUAAACAAUGUUGCCUGUUAAAAGCUGCCCUGUUCCCCUUCAGUAAAUGUCCCCUAUUAAAAGCUUUAAAAGCUCUAGACAGGAUCCUCUAAAAGCUUCUUCCUGUCUCUAAGAAAAAGCGAGAUCACCCAGCCCAGUG
ensembl:lncRNA